UACGUAGGUGGCAAGCGUUGUCCGGAAUUAUUGGGCGUAAAGGGAGCGCAGGUGGGAAUGUAAGUCGGUCUUAAAAGUGCGGGGCUCAACCCCGUGAGGGGAUCGAAACUACAUUUCUUGAGUGCAGGAGAGGAAAGUGGAAUUCCUAGUGUAGCGGUGAAAUGCGUAGAUAUUAGGAGGAACACCAGUGGCGAAGGCGACUUUCUGGACUGUAACUGACACUGAGGCUCGAAAGCCAGGGGAGCGAACGGG
rnacentral:rRNA from 1 species